ensembl:lncRNA
AAAAGACUGGCAAGCCAACUCUCAGAAGCAGAGAAAGCUCUACAUUAAUAAGCAACAAAAAAGAAAAGGAGAGAAAGGCACCAUCUGGCUUUGCCCUUCCCACAAAAAUGUCAGGCUCUUGCCUUGCUCUGGAAGUGUACAGAAGCUGCACAUCAGCACUGGGAGACUCAGGAGUGGGGUCCUGGGGAAUGCUUUUUUGAGUGAGCAACUUUCCAAGUGCAACAUCAGGGGUGCAUUUGACUGCCUGAGGAGCUGAUCCUGGAAGAAAAACCUCUGAGACCUGUGCAGCAGUCCAGAGCUCUGCUUGCAGCCAGCCCAGAGUUAAAUAGGAGACAUGUUCAGGAUCUGAUUGCCAAAAGAGCAAUAAUCCCCAAUCCAUCAGAUCAAGGCUGGAAGAUAAAUGAAGGGGAAUAACACCUGCAAGACAGAUUCCCAGAUGUCUAUAUUUGGCUCCAGCAAUCUGUGCUUCAGAGCGCUUGUCAUGUGUCAAGUUAAGACUGUAACUAGGACCAUCUAGAACUGAAGAAUUUGGAUCCAUCGUUCAUGAGGAAGGACAGGCUACCAGUUUCUCAAGGGGAGAAAAGCUAGGUUGCAUGUCCUAUGACCAUCAGAUCUUGUCUCCCCUAUAAACUGACUAGUAAAAAGAAUUCAUGUGAGGGCAAGAAAAAAAGGAGAUCUACUGAAUUCAUGUUUGUAUUUGACGUUUCAGACAGUUCUGUUUUGGGUGCUCUGAUUCUAAACAGUCCUGGCAAAUCUAGUAUACCUCAUCAGUACUCUGCUGUCUGUAUGAAAUGCAGAGUGUAAGGCAGAUCAGGAGAACUUUUGACUAAGCACAGUAGGAGAUUCAUGAGCGGUCUUCUUUGAACAUGGUCUAUGUAACUAUGUAAGUAUAUAACCAUAUAUAUAUCUAUGUUUCUAGAUAAUCUAUAUGAUUCCCGUGGGUUUCAGCAUUAUUUAGUGUAAACUUCAGUACUACAGGAACUUUUAGCAAAUAUAAUCUAACAAAUAUGUGGCAUUUUACAGCAGCCUACAUGCAUUCCACCUCAUAACAUCCUUGUAAAGCAUAUUGGAAUAUAUAAUAACCCUACAGACACAAU